rnacentral:rRNA from 1 species
GAUGAACGCUGGCGGCGUGCCUAAUACAUGCAAGUCGAGCGAACAGACGAGGGGCUUGCUCCUUUGACGUUAGCGGCGGACGGGUGAGUAACACGUGGGUAACCUACCUAUAAGACUGGGAUAACUUCGGGAAACCGGAGCUAAUACCGGAUAAUAUUUCGAACCGCAUGGUUCGAUAGUGAAAGAUGGCUUUGCUAUCACUUAUAGAUGGACCUGCGCCGUAUUAGCUAGUUGGUAAGGUAACGGCUUACCAAGGCAACGAUACGUAGCCGACCUGAGAGGGUGAUCGGCCACACUGGAACUGAGACACGGUCCAGACUCCUACGGGAGGCAGCAGUAGGGAAUCUUCCGCAAUGGGCGAAAGCCUGACGGAGCAACGCCGCGUGAGUGAUGAAGGUCUUCGGAUCGUAAAACUCUGUUAUUAGGGAAGAACAAACGUGUAAGUAACUGUGCACGUCUUGACGGUACCUAAUCAGAAAGCCACGGCUAACUACGUG